CCUACGGGUGGCUGCAGUGGGGGAUAUUGCACAAUGGGGGAAACCCUGAUGCAGCGACGCCGCGUGAGUGAAGCAGUAUUUCGGUAUGUAAAGCUCUUUCAGCAGGGCAGAAAAUGACAGUACCUGACCAAGUCUCCCCGGCUCACUACGUUCCAGCAGCCGCGGUAAUACGUAGGGUGCAAGCGUUAUCCGGAUUUUCUGGGUGUAAAGGGAGCGUAGACGGUUAUGUAAGUCUGGAGUGAAAGCCCGGGGCCCAACCCCGGGACUGCUUUGGAACCUGUGUCACUGGAGUGCAGGAGGGGCAGGCGGAAGUCAUGGUGUAGCGGUGAAAUGCGGAGAUAUCAGGAGGAACACCGGCGGCGAAGGCGGCCUGCUGGACUGCAACUGACGUUGAGGCUCGAAAGCGUGGGGAGCAAACAGGAUUAGAUACCCUUGUAGUC
rnacentral:rRNA from 1 species